GACGAACGCUGGCGGCAUGCCUAAUACAUGCAAGUCGAGCGAACAGAUGGAGUGCUUGCACUUCUGACGUUAGCGGCGAACGGGUGAGUAACACGUAAGGAAUCUACCUAUAAGCGGGGGAUAACAUUCGGAAACGGGUGCUAAUACCGCAUAAUAUCUUCUUCCGCGUGGACGAAGAUUGAAAGACGGCUCUGCUGUCACUUAUAGAUGACCUUGCGGUGCAUUAGUUAGUUGGUGGGGUAAUGGCCUACCAAGACGAUGAUGCAUAGCCGACCUGAGAGGGUGAUCGGCCACGUUGGGACUGAGACACGGCACAAACUCCUACGGGAGGCAGCAGUAGGGAAUCUGCCGCAAUGGGCGAAAGCCUGACGGAGCAAUGCCGCGUGAGUGAAGAAGGCCUUCGGGUCGUAAAACUCUGUUAUAAGAGAAGAACAAAUUGUAGAGUAACUGCUACAGUCUUGACGGUAUCUUAUCAGAAAGCCACGGCUAACUACGUGCCAGCCGCCGCCGUAA
rnacentral:rRNA from 1 species